UUUUAUGAGAGUUUGAUCCUGGCUCAGGACGAACGCUGGCGGCGUGCCUAAUACAUGCAAGUCGAACGCUUCUUUUUCCACCGGAGCUUGCUCCACCGGAAAAAGAGGAGUGGCGAACGGGUGAGUAACACGUGGGUAACCUGCCCAUCAGAAGGGGAUAACACUUGGAAACAGGUGCUAAUACCGUAUAACAAUCGAAACCGCAUGGUUUUGAUUUGAAAGGCGCUUUCGGGUGUCGCUGAUGGAUGGACCCGCGGUGCAUUAGCUAGUUGGUGAGGUAACGG
rnacentral:rRNA from 1 species